rnacentral:snoRNA from 1 species
CCUGCCAUUUCACCUGACCAGUUCCCUGUUGGUUGGUGUAAGCCAGUGGUAAGCUGAUAUUAAACCCCAGCUUAGGAAACAGGGUUGUUCUUCAUAUGGAUGACUCUGUGUCAAAAAACAUGGGAACAGCC